AGUGAACGCUGGCGGUAGGCCUAACACAUGCAAGUCGAACGGCAGCACAGUAAGAGCUUGCUCUUACGGGUGGCGAGUGGCGGACGGGUGAGGAAUACAUCGGAAUCUACUUUUUCUUGGGGGAUAACGUAGGGAAACUUACGCUAAUACCGCAUACGACCUACGGGUGAAAGCAGGGGUUCUUCGGACCUUGCGCGAUUGAAUGAGCCGAUGGCGGAUUAGCUAGUUGGCGGGGUAAAGGCCCACCAAGGCGACGAUCCGUAGCUGGUCUGAGAGGAUGAUCAGCCACACUGGAACUGAGACACGGUCCAGACUCCUACGGGAGGCAGCAGUGGGGAAUAUUGGACAAUGGGCGCAAGCCUGAUCCAGCCAUACCGCGUGGGUGAAGAAGGCCUUCGGGUUGUAAAGCCCUUUUGUUGGGAAAGAAAAGCAGCAGGUUAAUACCCCGCUGUUCUGACGGUACCCAAAGAAUAAGCACCGGCUAACUUCGUG
rnacentral:rRNA from 1 species